UACGGGGGGGAGCAAGCGUUGUUCGGAUUUACUGGGCGUAAAGGGCGCGUAGGCGGCCAGCACAAGUCAGUUGUGAAAUCUCCGGGCUUAACUCGGAACGGUCAAGUGAUACUGUCGUGCUAGAGUACAGAAGGGGCAACUGGAAUUCUCGGUGUAGCGGUGAAAUGCGUAGAUAUCGAGAGGAACACCUGCGGCGAAGGCGGGUUGCUGGGCUGAUACUGACGCUGAGGCGCGAAAGCUAGGGGAGCGAACGGG
rnacentral:rRNA from 1 species